rnacentral:tRNA from 1 species
GGGGGCGUAGCUCAGUUGGGAGAGCGCGUGGAUCGCACCCACGAGGUCUGGGGUUCGAGCCCCCACGCCUCCACCA